rnacentral:lncRNA from 1 species
UUCAACAGUGUUAAACUGAUAAAAUAUAAACGACAUCAAGUUUAACUGCAGCGGAACAAGCAAUCCAUUAGAAGAGUCAAGUAGAGAAUAAAAUCUACUAUCUUCUAUGAUUUAAAAGGUUUUUCAUCACUUUUAUCGCUGAGACCCAUCUUAAUAAAUAAACCACAUCAUCUCUGCACUACGACCAAGGAUAUUCAUUAGUAUCACGACCACAAAUUAUCCAUGCACUACGGGCCAAGGAUAUUCGUGUAUUCAUCAACGGUCAUGAUUAUGCCAACAACUGUCCAUCAAUGCACUACGUGUAAG